AACGAACGCUGGCGGCAUGCCUAACACAUGCAAGUCGAACGAGACCUUCGGGUCUAGUGGCGCACGGGUGCGUAACGCGUGGGAACCUGCCCUUAGGUUCGGAAUAACUCCCCGAAAGGGGUGCUAAUACCGGAUAAUGUCUUCGGACCAAAGAUUUAUCGCCUUUGGAUGGGCCCGCGUUGGAUUAGCUAGUUGGUAGGGUAAAAGCCUACCAAGGCGACGAUCCAUAGCUGGUCUGAGAGGAUGAUCAGCCACACUGGGACUGAGACACGGCCCAGACUCCUACGGGAGGCAGCAGUGGGGAAUAUUGGACAAUGGGCGAAAGCCGGAUCCAGCAAGGCCGCGUGAGUGAUGAAGGCCUUAGGGUUGUAAAGCUCUUUUACCCGGGAUGAUAAUGACAGUACCGGGAGAAUAAGCUCCGGCUAACUCCGUG
rnacentral:rRNA from 1 species